GAUCCUAGCUCAGGAUGAACGCUAGCUACAGGCUUAACACAUGCAAGUCGAGGGGCAGCAUGAACUUAGCUUGCUAAGUUUGAUGGCGACCGGCGCACGGGUGAGUAACACGUAUCCAACCUGCCGAUGACUCGGGGAUAGCCUUUCGAAAGAAAGAUUAAUACCCGACUGGCAUAGUUCUUCCGCAUGGUAGAACUAUUAAAGAAUUUCGGUCAUCGAUGGGGAUGCGCUCCAUUAGG
rnacentral:rRNA from 1 species